rnacentral:rRNA from 1 species
GGUAGCGCAAUCACUUGUCUUUUAAAUGAAGACCUGUAUGAAUGGUGGAACGAGGGCUUAACUGUCUCCCUUUUUAGGUCAAUGAAAUUGAUCUGCCCGUGCAGAAGCGGACAUAAACAUACAAGACGAGAAGACCCUUUGGAGCUUAAGACAUAAGGCCAAUUACGUCAAUAUCCCAUGAACAGGAAUAAAACAUAGUAACAACUGACCUACGUCUUCGGUUGGGGCGACCACGGGGGAAAAACAAGCCCCCACGUGGACUGGGACAACCUAAAACCACGAGGGACACCUCUAAGUCACAGAAAAUCUGACCAAACAGAUCCGGCACACCAGCCGAUCAACGAACCAAGUUACCCUAGGGAUAACAGCGCAAUCCCCUCCAAGAGUCCAUAUCGACAAGGGGGUUUACGACCUCGAUGUUGGAUCAGGACAUCCUAAUGGUGCAGCCGCUAUUAAGGGUUCGUUUGUUCAACGAUUAA